GACGAACGCUGGCGGCGUGCCUAAUACAUGCAAGUCGAGCGGACCACUUCGGUGGUCAGCGGCGGAUGGGUGAGUAACACGUGGGCAACCUGCCUGUAAGACAGGGAUAACACCGGGAAACCGGUGCUAAUACCGGAUAAUCCUUUCCUUCACAUGAGGGAAAGCUGAAAGACGGUUUCGGCUGUCACUUACAGAUGGGCCCGCGGCGCAUUAGCUAGUUGGUGAGGUAACGGCUCACCAAGGCGACGAUGCGUAGCCGACCUGAGAGGGUGAUCGGCCACACUGGGACUGAGACACGGCCCAGACUCCUACGGGAGGCAGCAGUAGGGAAUCUUCCGCAAUGGACGAAAGUCUGACGGAGCAACGCCGCGUGAGCGAUGAAGGCCUUCGGGUCGUAAAGCUCUGUUGUCAGGGAAGAACAAGUACCGGAGUAACUGCCGGUACCUUGACGGUACCUGACCAGAAAGCCACGGCUAACUACGUGCCAGCCGCCGCCGUAAAAC
rnacentral:rRNA from 1 species